CAGGUCCAGAGCUGGGACUGGGUUCAGGUCGGGAUCUUUAGACUCGUUUUAAGACGUGGAUCGAGUCGGACCCAGUAUGUCCCCGGAGCUCACUGCAAGUCUGGUCUUCAGGGCUGUUCUGCCCCUCACUUUGGCUGCAGCCUGCGUGCUGCGCUUCAAUGGAUUCUCUGUGGUCUACGUCUUCCUGCUGCUGCUGCUGCCACUGCUGCCAGACACCUCCUCCUCUACAGGGAGCCUGAGUCGCUGCGUGACGGCCGUGUGCGUGUCCAGCUUCGUCUUCCUGUUACUGCAGGCCUCCUUCCAGCUGGGGACCAUCACGCUGCAGCCCACCUACAACUGUACGUCGUGGCAGAAGGUUGUGGGUCAGCUGGGCCUGGUGAGUCUGUCAGGAAGUGAUGCGGGCUCUGCCGUGAGGCAGGUGUGUCCUGAUGUGGGAGUGCUGGUUGUUGGUCUGCUGACGUGGAGGCUGCUCAGGAGACUGAACGCCAACAAACACACACAGCAGCAGCAGGAUGACGAGGACCAGGUGUUUGAGGAGGAGUCUGUGCUUGGAGAUGAAGAUCCAGAGGAAGAGGAGGAAGAGAAGGGACCCAGAAACAGGGCUCUGGUUGAACUGGAGUCGCUGGUUUGUAAGACCAGGCAGAUGCUGGGAAACAUGACUACAACUGGAGGAAAGGUCCUGCUGACAGCUCUGCUGGGACUCACAGGUAUCAUGGCUCCCUCCCUGCCCUCCCUUCUCUACCUGCUCUGUUUUCAGGUUUUGUGUACAUGGUGGGCAUGGGCGGGUCGGGUCCCGCCUCUGGUCUUUAGGUGCGUGUCUGUGAUGUCACUGGCCUACUCCUCCUCCCACUUCCUGCUCUUCUACUGCUACCAGCUGCCCUCACUGCAGGAGGCAUGGCCUCCGAACUCCACGUCCUCCAGUGCGUUGGGCCUGGUGUCUGUGGCAUAUGUGGACUGUGCUGCCCCCUGGAGGCUUCAAGUGAACCCCAAUCUCAGCUGGUUUCACUUCUGCAGCCCUUUGAUGCUGCUGCUCCUCUACCACACUGUGGCCAGUCUGUGGCGGAACCAGCUUAUUGACAGUGACCUUGUAGCAAGAGUGGAGUCGGCCAAGAGUGGGAGUUGUGACAUCAUCACUGCCACCAGCAUUCUGAGUGAAAAUCUUAGCGAGGACCUCACAGCAGAGAGGAGGAGAGAGCUCUGGAGGAGAGACCACGAUCGCCCCGAGUGCUCAGACGUGCUUUGGUCAUCGUCCAAUGACAGUCCCUCUCACUCAUUGGCCCCGCCCACCCAGAGCACUGCCCUUGGACUGGAUGAUUACGUCACACCUCACUACUCUUUUAGUCAAUCAGACACCUUGGAGACAUGCGCCUGGGAGGAGGAGGGGGAUGCACAAGUGAGGGCAGUAACCGAGGAGGGAGGGGUCAGCGCUGCCUCCUUGGCCUUCAGCUUCCUUCUCAAACAGAGCUACAUCUGUGCUCUGGUUUCAAUGAUGGCCUGGUCUAUCACCUAUGUGUCCUGGCCCACAUGUGUGCUGCUUCUGUGGUCAUGUGUCCUGUGGAUGAUGCGAGAGCGUCGCCGGUACACACUGAUGUCAUCGCCCUGGCUGGUUGCCUAUGGCAACCUGCUGCUGAUUCUGCAGUAUGUGUACAGCUUCCCGUCUAUACAGGAAGUUCCUGGACUGUUUCCAGAGAAGGAUGACCCCUGUCGGGAGCUCGCCUCUAAGUUGCUGUGUCUGUUGACUUUCUGGCUGCUCCUGCGUCAAGCACUGACGGAGAAGAGAGACAGACAGAGCGAUACAUAUGUGUCUACCAUCACUGUCCAGACACAAGAGGGUCAGGGAGUGGAUUUGGACCUGCAGACGAAGGUGGAGGAGGUCUCGUAUGAGGAAGUGCUGCUUCUGGGUGGUGGAGGCAGUGGUAUUCAGAUGGAGGCUCUGGUUGCUGUGGUAACCAGGAUGUUUGUGAAAUACUGGAUCUACGUCUGUGGAACCAUGUUUUUCUUUGUCAGCUUCGAGGGGAAGAUUGUCCUGUACAAGGUCAUCUACAUGGUCCUCUUCCUGUGCUGCGUGGCGCUGUACCAGUGUGAUGGGCCUGUGGGUAUUCACUGGAUCCAUGUCUUCACUGCAGACACAGCUCACCUGUUGAACUACGAGCGCUGGCGUGCCUGGCUUAGGGGAUUCUGGGUAGCUGUGGUGGUCUACUCCAUGCUGGUUCUGAUCCUGAUCUAUACCUUCCAAUUUCCCUCAUCCCCCGAUACAUGGAGCUACUACACCGGGCUCAGCAUGCGCAGGUUGGAGGACGUUGGUUUGGAGAAGUUCUCAGUUCCAGUUCUGUUCACCAGGAUCUUCAUUCCUGCUGCGUUUUUACUGGUGUGUAUCGUCCAUCUGCAUUAUUUCCACAAGCCUUUUCUCCAACUGACCGACCUGAAGACCGUGGUGGACACACACAACAGCACCAUCACCAGAUUGGUGCACUCUGAUGGCAGCCUGGCCGAUCUGUCAGAAGCUCCUCAGCUCCUCGCGGAACGAGAGCAGGAGGUCCAGAAGGAGAAGGCAGAGACAGAGGAGAAGUGCAUCAAGGAGGAAAGCGAGGAGUACUCCAGUGUGUUCGACAGGGAAACGGUGUCUGAUUGCAUAACAGCGCUGGUCUCGUGGAGGCUGGUGGUGGAUCGUCUGUCUGUCCUGUUCCUCCGCCUCCUCCUGUCCCUGCAGCGCCUGCAGUGUCUGCUCUGGUGGCUCCUGGAGCUGCACAUUGUAAAGAUUCUGUCCUUCUACAUCAUCUGGGUCUCAGUCAAGGAGGUUUGCCUCUUUAACGUGGUCUUCGUGCUGUGUGUGGCCGUGGCUCUGUCCUGCAGGGCAUGGCGCCCCCUGUCCUCAAGCAUCUGCACCGUGUGGACUUGUGUGGUCAUCGUCUGUAAAAUGCUCUACCAGCUUAAUGUCGUCCAGCCAAUCGUAUAUUCCUCCAACUGCACCAUGCCAGGUAACGCCACCUCUGAUCUGUCGGGCUCCAUUCUGUACACGGGUCCUAUCGAUCCGGCCCGGUGGGUGGGGCUCCACAAGACAGAUGGGAAACUACUCGACUACCUGAGGUAUAAUCUGAUGAUGUUGGCCCUCUUGGCGUUUGAGGUGACCAUUUACCGACACCAGGAACUCUAUCGUCUCCGUCGUAAUGAAGUCCCACCCCUCACAAGAACACUGUUUUGUGACAUCAGCAGGCUGCACCUUGACAAAAGUGUGUUAAGCUGCGUGAAAUACUUUCUGAAUUACUACUUCUACAAGUUUGGGCUGGAGACCUGCUUCCUGUUGGCAGUGAAUGUGAUUGGUCAGCGAAUGGAUCUGUUUGCCGUAGGCCACGCCUUUGGCCUCAUCACCAUCCUGUUGCAUCGCAGCAGAACGCGCAUUGCCUGUGUGUGGCCCAGGUACUGCUACUUUCUGUCGGCCAUGGUGUGCUUUCAGUACCUGCUGUGCAUUGGAUUCCCUCCAGCUGCCUGUAAAGAUUAUCCAUGGAGACAUCCGUCAUUUAAUGUGGACUCAAACCUAGUGAAGUGGCUCUUCCUCCCUGAUUACUUGACCCCUCCCAACCCACUCUUCCUUCUUUAUGAUUUCUUCCUCCUCCUUGGUGCAUCACUGCAGCUGCAGGUAUUUGAGGAGGAACGUCUCCCAUCGGUUCAGAUUCUUGCAGGUGAUAACAGUGAGCUCCAUGAAAAUGAAGGAGAGGUCUGUGAUACUAUCACACAGCUCCGUCUCAACAUAAUUCCCGACUUCAUGUUGUGCAGGUCUUACCUGGACAUGAUGAAAGUCAUCAUCUUCAGCUAUAUGUUCUGGUUUGUCCUCACCAUUAUCUUCAUCACUGGAACCACCAGGAUCAGUAUCUUUUGUAUGGGUUACCUGGUGGCCUGUUUCUAUUUCCUGUUGGUGGGUGGAGACCUACUGCUAAAACCCGUUAAGUCCAUCUUGGUGUACUGGGACUGUUUGAUUGGUUACAAUGUGUUUGUCAUCACUAUGAAGAAUAUUCUGUCGAUCCUGGCCUGUGGUUUCAUCAAGUCACUGGUGUUAAAUCACUGUUGGUUGAUUCAGCUCUUCAGUCUGGCCUGCACCAUCAAAGGCUACACCAAACCGGAGCAGCAGAGCAGUAAACAGUGCGAGCUGCCGAGUGAUGAGGCAGGAAUCAUUUGGGACGGCGUCUGCUUCUGCUUCCUGUUGCUUCAGCGGAGAGUGUUCAGGAGUCAGUACUUCCUGUAUGUGGUGCUGGACCUGCAGAACACACAACUUCUGGCCUCCAGGGGAGCUGAGCUCUUUGAGGCUUCUACGGUCAAAGCUGUGAGAGCAAGACUGGAGGUUGAGAAGACAUCAAUGGAUCUUCUGAAGAGACAGAUGGAGAGGAUCAAAUCCCGACAGCAGAAAUUCCGGCGAGGAAAAGAGAACAUGUUGAGUUUGACCCAAGACAGCAGCUUCCUUGUUGAGGGGCAGGGAAUCAAGAAGGGUCAACAGCAGAAGGAGUGGUGGAGGCCUUGGGUAAACCAUGCAUCCAUGGUGAGGAGUGGGGAUUAUUACUUGUUUGAGACAGACAGCGAGGAGGAAGAUGAUGAGAAAAAAGAGGAGGAUGAAAACAAGGAGAAGGAACGUCCUGAGAAAUCAGCCUUUCAGUUUGUCUACCACGCUUGGAUAACAGACUCCAGAACUGCAAUGAGAGCUCGCAGCAGCCACAAGAAGCUGUGGAAAAGCAACUCAUCUGAACGAAAAAGCCGAAAGGAGAAGAAGGGUGAAGAAGGAGUAAUUGAGGCAACGGAGGAAGAGGAAGAGGAGGACGGAGAGGAGGAAGAAAAAGAGGAGGGACCAGAGACGGCACUGCGUCGCUUCUCCAACACACUGCGCUUCUGUUGGGUUCUGCUGUCAGCCCUGCUGGACUCUCUGACCGCAUGGCUCAGCAGCUUGUGUCAGGAACACGUGGAUAUCUCCACUGUGCUCCGCAUUGAGAGGUGCAUGCUAACGCAGCAGGCCAAACAGGGUAAUGUACCAACUAGAGAGGCAAUAAACAUUUUCUAUCAAGAGCAAAUGAUGAAAACCUCCAGGGAGUCAGGGCCAGGCUCCAUUACACGGGGGGCAGAGGACCAGGCCUCCGCAAACAGACAGAGGGAGCAAAAGGAGGGUGGACCAGAACAAGAUCCUGGAGGAGAUCCAGCUAAAGCAGAACCAGCACCAGGGGAAGGUGGAGCUGACACCACAGACCAGCCUCCUCAUGAGGCUCCAGGCUCGGGAAUUAAACUGGAAACAGGAUUAACAGAAGGAAACCCAUCAGCAGAACAAUGUCCAGAAUGCAAUGUGGCCACAACCAGUCACCGACCACGACCCAAGCUGGCGAGGGCGGAGAGAGUCCAGUCUUCAUCAUCUUCAUCCUCAGAGGGAGAAUCGUGCUGCAUUGAGGGAGAACCAGAUCUACCUCUUCUCGACACACAGCUGACUCAUCCCCUGACCAGCGCCUCCUCCCCUGCUUCUCACUGCUCGCUGCACCUCCCACCAUCCUACAGCCUCGCUCUGGGUCUGGACCUCCAGGCAGGUGAGGAGGAACAUACGUCCGGGUUCAGGAAAAGAAUGCUGUCCCACGCUCAGGGUGACAGUGAAAGUGACAUUCUGCCUGACUCUGCCUCCGCAUCCUGCCCACUGGCAUCUCGAACUCAGGAGCUGACAGCAAGCGAGCUGCUGAGGAACAGAGCCUUCUACAAUGACGAACUGGAUGCAUCCGACCGUUUCUAUAGGAACCAGCCACAGCUUCUUCAGCUGUGCUAUGCCCUAUACAACAUCCUGGCAGCCAGGUCGGAGACUGUGUGUUACCUGGUCAUCGUACUGAACCACAUGGUGUCAGCCAGCUGUCUCACUCUGGUUCUCCCAGUGCUGGUGUUUCUGUGGGCCAUGUUGUCGGUCCCUCGACCCAGUAAGACCUUCUGGAUGACAGCCAUCAUCUACACUGAGGUCACCAUUGUCAUCAAGUACUUCUUCCAGUUUGGUUUCUUUCCCUUCAACCAGAAACUGGAACUGGACCGAUCCAAACCGUUCCACCCUCCCAACAUCCUGGGGGUGGAGAAAAAAGAAGGCUACGUCUUAUAUGACCUGCUGCAGCUACUCGCUUUGUUCUACCACAGAGCCAUACUCAAGUGUCAUGGACUGUGGGAUCAUAGCAUUACCAAGGAGGCAGAUGUGGCCCACCAUGGUGACAUUCAGGCUGAGUGUUGCCCCAGGGCCACCUACAUGGAUGUAGUAGAGCCCUCCACUGUGCUACGACGGCGAGGCAGGAAACGCACGCGCUCCAACUCCACCCAGCUGCGCUCUCCUGCAGGAAGCGUGAGCUCCAGACCUCAGCAGCCAACCAGGGUCCAUCUGCUCCUGGGCAAACUCAGAGAGCUGUCCAUCCGAGCCAAGGUGUACUCCAUUGACAGGUGUAUGUCUGUGUACUGGCCCAUCUGCCACUUCUUCAGAGCUCUAGUCCAGCCAGAAUACAGUGCUGUCACUGAUGUCUACGUCCUCAUGUUCCUUGCUGACACAGUCGACUUCAUCAUCAUCGUCUUCGGCUUCUGGGCCUUUGGAAAACACUCUGCAGCUGCUGACAUCACUUCCUCUCUAUCAGAAGAUCAAGUUCCUCAAGCAUUUUUGGUCAUGGUCCUGAUUCAGUUUGGGACCAUGGUGAUUGACCGAGCUCUGUAUUUAAGGAAGACUGUUUUGGGGAAGCUGGUGUUCCAGGUUAUUCUGGUAUUUGGAAUUCACUUCUGGAUGUUUUUCAUCCUGCCAACAGUCACUGAGAGGCGUUUCAACCAGAACCUGGUGGCUCAGCUCUGGUACUUUGUGAAGUGUGUUUAUUUUGGGCUCUCAGCUUAUCAGAUUCGAUCCGGCUACCCAACACGGGUGCUGGGAAACUUUCUGACAAAGAGCUACAACUACCUUAACCUGUUCCUGUUCCAGGGCUUCCGUCUGGUUCCCUUCCUGACGGAGCUGAGGGCAGUGAUGGACUGGGUGUGGACAGACACCACCUUAUCUCUGUCCUCGUGGAUCUGUGUGGAGGACGUCUACGCCCAUUGCUUUGUGUUAAAGUGCUGGAGAGAGUCUGAGAAGAGGUACCCUCAGCCUCGGGGUCAGAAGAAGAAGCGCGUGGUGAAGUAUGGGAUGGGUGGUCUGAUCGUUCUCCUCCUGAUCUGUAUCGUUUGGUUCCCACUUCUCUUCAUGUCCCUCAUCAAAUCUGUGGCCGGAGUUGUCAACAGACCUCUCGACGUGUCUCUUACCAUCACACUAGGAGGUUUCCAGCCGAUCUUCACAAUGAGCGCCCAGCAAAACCAGCUCAAAGAUCUCACUGAGGAGGAGUAUAGCUCCUUCGCCAGCACCUACAGCUACACACCUAGUGCCCUGCAGUUCCUGGAGGCGUACAGCUGUGAGGACAUUGUGGUGGCAGACCUGCAGGGCAGCAGUAACUCUCUGUGGACCAUCAGUCCUCCCAGUAGGCAGUACUUGAGCCAGGUGCUCAACCUGGACCACUUCCCUCUGACUAUGUCCUGGACUGUUCAGAGGAACCUGAGUCUGGGCGCAAAGGCAGAGCUGGCGUCGGGUAAAUAUGUGACCUACUUGGACAAUCAGACACGUCUGGAGCUCAUUGAGCUGCUCAAGGGAACAAGGUCACUUCCUGUGGUGAUACAGAAAGUGUUUCCCAGUUUUAUUCGAGCUCCUAGUGAUUCCAACGCCAAACCUAUUGAACAGCUUUACACAGAUGGCCACUACAAGGACAUUCUGCUUGCCCUUGAGAGGUCAACCAAUCAGAGCAGAGAGAUCCAGGAGUGGUGGGUCGUUGACCAACCGGCUGCCAGUCUAGUCCCUUUUGUGAGCGGGACUUUCCUGAACAGCAAGAGGGAGGCGGGGCUUCAGUUGUUCGUGUUUAAUGAUAAAGUCAGUCCUCCAAGUUUGGGAUUCCUCGCUGGAUACGGACACUCACCAGCAACCCCCUCUGCAGCAUCAUGGGCCUGUACGCCUCCGUAGUGUUGGUGAUCGGGAAGUUUGUCCGAGAGUUCUUCAGUGGGAUCAGCCACUCCAUCAUGUUCGAGGAGCUGCCAUGCGUCGACCGCAUCCUUAAACUCUGCACCGACAUCUUUCUGGUGAGAGAGACCGGUGAGCUGGAGUUGGAGGAAGAGCUUUACGCCAAACUGAUCUUCUUGUAUCGAUCGCCAGAGACUCUGAUCAAAUGGACCCGACGCUGACGUUAGCCCAUAAUGCAGCUGUUAAACAGGGGACCUUCAGAGAUCCCUCAGGAAAUGUAAACACUGAAACACACCUGCACCUACUCGGACCUUUUCGCAGAGGCUGCUAAUGCCCGAGUAUUACUCAGUGACAGCAGGAUGUCACACCCUGGACCAACUGGAAUAUUUAAUGCAGUCUUUUACUCCAGCAAAGUCCCUGAAAAGAGCUAUGUUGGUACAAAUUGUCCUGGAAGCACAAGCAACUGAAACAAGACAAAAGUGAGUGCGAAGAGUUUGUCAAAGCUAUUUUUCCAGGACUUUCAGGGUUAUGUUUUUGGGGUGUCAGCUGUGUUCACUAAUUAUUUAUUUUAUUUAUGCUAGCACUCCGCCAGCUGUAAUUAGUUGUACUCCAGGGAAAAAUCAUAAGCUAGCAUACAUGCUUCCCAUUCUGGCUCCAUAACAACUGGACAGAAGCGUGUUAUUGUUAGCUUAGCGUCACAGCGCUAACUGGACACCCGUUUAUUGUUGUGUGUGCACAUAUCACAGGAAAUAACUGAAAGCAGUCUGACGCUAACACUGGAAUCAUGGCACCAACGGAAUCCGAAAUCCAACCCAUAAUUCCAAUAGAACAAUGUUAAACCAUAAUGAAGUAUUGUUUAUUUGUGUCACUUUAUGUGAAAACAUCUUUUGAACAUGUGGAAAAAGUAAAUACAGGUGCUGGUCAUGUAAUUAGAAUAUCAUCACUAAUGUCAUUCAAAAAGUGAAACUUGUAUAUUACAUUCAUUCAUUACACACAGA